rnacentral:rRNA from 1 species
AUUGAACGCUGGCGGCAUGCCUUACACAUGCAAGUCGAACGGCAGCACGGGGGCAACCCUGGUGGCGAGUGGCGAACGGGUGAGUAAUACAUCGGAACGUGCCCAGUCGUGGGGGAUAACGUAGCGAAGGUUACGCUAAUACCGCAUACGAUCACUGGAUGAAAGCGGGGGACCGCAAGGCCUCGCGCGAGUGGAGCGGCCGAUGGCAGAUUAGGUAGUUGGUGGGGUAAAAGCUUACCAAGCCUCCGAUCUGUAGCUGGUCUGAGAGGACGAUCAGCCACACUGGGACUGAGACACGGCCCAGACUCCUACGGGAGGCAGCAGUGGGGAAUUUUGGACAAUGGGCGAAAGCCUGAUCCAGCAAUGCCGCGUGCAGGACGAAGGCCUUCGAGUUGUAAACUGCUUUUGUACGGAGCGAAACGGCUUCCACUAAUACUGGGGGCUAAUGACGGUACCGUAAGAAUAAGCACCGGCUAACUACGUGCCAGCAGCCGCCGUAA